rnacentral:rRNA from 1 species
AGAGUUUGAUCAUGGCUCAGAACGAACGCUGGCGGCGUGCUUAACACAUGCAAGUCGAACGCGAAAGUUUUCUUCGGAAGACGAGUAGAGUGGCGCACGGGUGAGUAACGCGUAAGUAAUCUGCCCCGGCAUCUGGAAUAACUCACCGAAAGGUGUGCUAAUACCGGAUACGCUGGUAACAGGAAAGGUGGCCUCUGUAUAUGCUACCGUGCCGGGAGGAGCUUGCGUACCAUUAGCUAGUUGGUAGGGUAAUGGCCUACCAAGGCGACGAUGGUUAGCGGGUCUGAGAGGAUGAUCCGCCACACUGGAACUGAAACACGGACCAGACUCCUACGGGAGGCAGCAGUGAGGAAUAUUGCGCAAUGGGGGAAACCCUGACGCAGCGACGCCGCGUGGAUGAUGAAGGCCUUCGGGUCGUAAAAUCCUGUCAGAUGGAAAGAAAUGCAGCAUGCCUAAUACGUGUGCUGUUUGACGGUACCAUCAAAGGAAGCACCGGCUAACUCCGUGCCAGCAGCCGCGGUAAUACGGAGGGUGCAAGCGUUGUUCGGAAUUACUGGGCGUAAAGGGCGCGUAGGCGGUUUGUUAAGUCAGAUGUGAAAGUCCACGGCUCAACCAUGGAAGUGCAUUUGAAACUGGCAGACUUGAGUACUGGAGGGGGUGGUGGAAUUCCCGGUGUAGAGGUGAAAUUCGUAGAUAUCGGGAGGAAUACCGGUGGCGAAGGCGACCACCUGGCCAGAUACUGACGCUGAGGUGCGAAAGCGUGGGGAGCAAACAGGAUUAGAUACCCUAGUAGUCC